rnacentral:rRNA from 1 species
GGGACGGGUGAGUAACACGUGGAUAACCUACCUAUAAGACUGGGAGUAACUUCGUGAAACCGGAGCUAAUACCGGAUAAUAUAUUGAACCGCAUGGUUCAAUAGUGAAAGACGGUUUUGCUGUCACUUAUAGAUGGAUCCGCGCCGCAUUAGCUAGUUGGUAAGGUAACGGCUUACCAAGGCAACGAUGCGUAGCCGACCUGAGAGGGUGAUCGGCCACACUGGAACUGAGACACGGUCCAG